GGAGCUGGGCCGCACUGGGGGAUGGGACUGGCUGCUCUGGAAGCAUCGAGAAGUAGUGUCCUCCAGAGGAGGUAGAACCAGAGAUCUCGCAGGUGGAAGAUUGAAGGUCUGAAGAGUGGGAAGUCCCAGGAACAGGCAAUUCCAGGAAGAUAUGAGGAAAAUCAAGAAAGAGAAGGAAACUGAAGCUAGUGGGAAGUGCUUCAAGUUGGAGAUGAUGCUGAGAUGGCCAAAAAGUGAGAGGUGGAAAACAUUUGGAGUGAGUUAAGGAGAGAACGCGAGGCAAGGAAGUGAAGCUGAGUGAGUUGGGGAGUGGGGUGCAGGGGCCUUUGGCCACCCCAGGCUCUUUCUAUGUGAACAUUCUGAGACUGAUUCUGAUUUUUUUCCCCUCCCAAAUUGCUCUCUUUUCCUUUCUUCACCUACUUACUCCCUGGUCAUCCUUCCUUUGGGUCAGUGAAGUUGCUGAUUCUUUAGGGAACACUUCUCUGAUUGCUGAAGCUAAUAGUCUCUCCCUGCGGUUGCCGGUUGUUUCCAAUAGUUGACUAGUUUUCUUCCCCAGCACUUACGAGUACACAGCCAGUCACUCUGGUUGCUCACUGUCUUCCUUCUUCCUUGACUGUCAGCUCACAGGAAUGCAGGGCCCUUACUUGUUUUACUCACCACUGCAUCCCAAGGAUAUAGCAGAGUGCCUGGCACACGGUAGGUGCUGAAUAAAUAUUCGUUAAAUGAUUGAUUGGAGGAAAAAACCACCAUCCUCCAUGGUAAACCUUUACUUUACUUUUGCAUACUUCUAAAAGUAUAAUCUAGAGGUUCAGUGACUCCCGCAAAUAAACAGAAAAGGGCACAGAGGGUGGCGAUAGGGCCACUGAUAACAGGAGCUGGAAGUAGAAGACAUCUUUUUUCCGAAGUUGAAGACUUGUACUUCCAUAACCUUGGCAGAUUAGGAAAUGUCAAUUACCCUCCAAUCCAACCUCCUAUAUAGAGCCACACACUGGUUUCCUAGCCUUUUAUGUAUUGAAAAGAUGUUAUCCUAUAAAUUUUCUUCUUUUCCAAUGUGUUCUAUAAAUAUCCACUAAAAUACUUUAAUUGCAAGAAAGUUAGAUAUUUGAGGUUAUAUCCAUGUUUCAUUUCUGUGGAAAACAACACAGAAAAUGUUACCCAAGUAUAACUGGGCACCAUGGCUCCAAUAUUUUCUCAUUAUCAGCUCAAAUAAACACAACUUAGAAUAAAAAAGUCAUGUAAAGCAA